rnacentral:rRNA from 1 species
UAACGCGUUAAGUCGACCGCCUGGGGAGUACGGCCGCAAGGUUAAAACUCAAAUGAAUUGACGGGGGCCCGCACAAGCGGUGGAGCAUGUGGUUUAAUUCGAUGCAACGCGAAGAACCUUACCUGGUCUUGACAUCCACAGAACUUUCCAGAGAUGGAUUGGUGCCUUCGGGAACUGUGAGACAGGUGCUGCAUGGCUGUCGUCAGCUCGUGUUGUGAAAUGUUGGGUUAAGUCCCGCAACGAGCGCAACCCUUAUCCUUUGUUGCCAGCGGUCCGGCCGGGAACUCAAAGGAGACUGCCAGUGAUAAACUGGAGGAAGGUGGGGAUGACGUCAAGUCAUCAUGGCCCUUACGACCAGGGCUACACACGUGCUACAAUGGCGCAUACAAAGAGAAGCGACCUCGCGAGAGCAAGCGGACCUCAUAAAGUGCGUCGUAGUCCGGAUUGGAGUCUGCAACUCGACUCCAUGAAGUCGGAAUCGCUAGUAAUCGUGGAUCAGAAUGCCACGGUGAAUACGUUCCCGGGCCUUGUACACACCGCCCGUCACACCAUGGGAGUGGGUUGCAAAAGAAGUAGGUAGCUUAACCUUCGGGAGGGCGCUUACCACUUUGUGAUUCAUGACUGGGGUGAAGUCGUAACAAGGUAACCGUAGGGGAACCUGCGGUUGGAUCACCUCCUU